ACGGAGAUCUCCCAAAAUUCUGAUCUAUAGUCCCAAAGUAAACACACGAAAUCCUCAAGAAAAAAAUUCCUACAAUUCUAUUCAAGUUCGUAUCAGGAAAACAUGAAAUUUCUACUCUAAACAUGCUACACAAAAUCCAGGUAAACAGUUAAAGCAUGUAAGAUAGUUAAGUCACAUAAGCAUGCUUUCCUAAGCUAAACAGGAGGCUUCAUAUACUUGUGUUUCUCAGUUAAAAGAAAACCUAGAUAUUUACAUAAUGAAAAUGGGAAUUUUCAACAAUUAGCAUAUGUACGCACUCGUCACCUCAUGUACACAACAUUCAUAUAACAACAGUACCAAUUCCUAAGGGGAG
rnacentral:lncRNA from 1 species